rnacentral:lncRNA from 1 species
UAAUAAUUAAAGAAAGAGGAAAAAGGGUCUUGUAUCAAAUAAAUUAGAGUCAUUUGGCUAAUUUUAGGAGGAGGAAUUUGGAGAGAAAAUAUUUUCAGAACUUAAGAGAACAAAAACAGAGAAUAAGAAAAGAAUUGAGAGUUAAAAAGAGUAGAAAGCUGAAAACCCCACUGCUUAUUUGAAACUUCUCUUCUUGCUUCAUUGAUUUCAUUUCUCUUAAUUCAAGUAAACUAAGACCGAUCUUAAGUAACUCUAGUACGUAUUUGAGUUCAUUUGGCUUGUGUUAAUAUUGCUGUGAGUCGAAGUCCAUUUCAGUUGGAUUUUUCUGGGUUGAUUUUUACUGGGUUUGCUGAAAUCUGCUGCUGGGUUUAGCUACUGUUUUGCUGUAUUAAUUAAUGCCUUGCUGAUUUCCCACCUUCUGCCUUUUGAUUCUAAUAUCAGGUACACAACUCGUACACAUUAUAAGUUGAUAACAUGAAGCAUGAAUACAAAUGAAGAGUUGAAGUUUUAAUUUUAUUUAGUUUUGUUAGUGAAUGUAUUUAGGCCACUCUAUAUGCAAUUGUUAUAUAAGUUUCUACCAUGUUCAUAUGACGG